AAGAACGCGCCCGGCGUGGCGCUUUCGGCGUGCGCAGCUGCGUUUCGGCGUUUUGGUUCGGUCUCCCGAGCCGAGGGUGAGGCGUGCUGUGCCCUUGGCCGGCAUGUUAGCGGCUAUGGGUGCUGUGGAUGAGGAAGAGGAGCCGGCGGAGGAGGACUGUCCUGAAUUGGUCCCCAUUGAGACGAAGCUAAGAGAGGAGGAGGAAAAGUCUGGGCCCGGCGCUAAGAUCCCAGUCACAAUUAUCACCGGGUAUUUAGGUGCUGGGAAGACAACACUUCUGAACUAUAUUUUGACAGAGCAACAUAGUAAAAGAGUAGCAGUUAUUUUAAACGAAUUUGGGGAAGGAAGUGCAGUGGAGAAAUCCUUAGCUGUCAGCCAAGGUGGAGAGCUCUAUGAAGAAUGGCUGGAACUUAGAAACGGUUGCCUCUGCUGUUCAGUAAAGGACAAUGGCCUUAGAGCUAUUGAGAAUUUGAUGCAGAAGAAGGGGAAAUUUGAUUACAUACUCUUAGAGACCACUGGGUUAGCAGAUCCGGGUGCUGUAGCUUCUAUGUUUUGGGUUGAUGCUGAAUUAGGGGUUGAUAUUUAUCUUGAUGGUAUCAUAACUGUUGUGGAUUCAAAAUAUGGACUAAAACAUUUAGAAGAAGAAAAACUGGAUGGCCUUAUCAAUGAAGCUUCUAGGCAAGUUGCUUUGGCAGAUAUCAUCAUCAUUAAUAAAACUGACUUGAUUUCAGAAGAGGAUUUAAGCAAAUUAAGAACAACCAUUAGAUCCAUAAAUGGACUGGGAAAAAUUUUAGAAACACAAAGAUCAAGAGUUGAUCUCUCUAAUGUAUUAGAUCUUCAUGCCUUUGACAGUCUUUCUGGAAUAAGUUUGCAGAAAAAACUUCAGCAUGUGCCAACAACACAGCCUCACCUUGAUCAGAGCAUUAUUACGGUGACAUUUGAAGUACGAGGAAAUGCAAAGGAAGAAAGUCUGAAUGUAUUUAUUCAGAAUCUCCUGUGGGAGAAGAAUGUGCGAAACAAGGAUGACGACUACAUGGAGGUCAUACGGCUAAAGCUGAUUGAACCCUCUCAUCUGAGCAGGGGCUGGUGUCGAUCAAAGACAAACCAAAACAGGUGAUUGUCCAGGGUGUCCACGAGCUCUACGAUCUGGAGGAGACUCCACUGAGCUGGAAUGAUGACACCGAGAGAACAAAUCGAUUGGUUCUUAUUGGCAGGAAUUUAGAUAAGGAGAUCCUCACACAACUAUUUAUAGCUACUGUGAUGGAAACAGAAAAGCGGUGGACAACACAUUUCAAAGAAGAUCAAGUUUGUCCAUAACACUGGAAACAUUUCUUAUCCGAGGGACUGGGUGAUAAAUCGGGAUUAAGUUUCCUACUGGGUGUAUUUCAAGCAUCUAUUUUUUGCAUUACUUCUGUUGUGAAUUCUGGCGUACUUUAAAAUAGUGUUUAUUUUAUGGAACACACAAAAUGUAGUAAAUAAGUACUUAAAACAUUUGACAUUCAUACAAUAAAACAUAAUGUCCUCUAAA